UACGAAGGGGGCUAGCGUUGCUCGGAAUCACUGGGCGUAAAGGGUGCGUAGGCGGGUCUUUAAGUCGGGGGUGAAAUCCUGGAGCUCAACUCCAGAACUGCCUUCGAUACUGGAAAGCUCGAGUCCGGGAGAGGUGAGUGGAACUGCGAGUGUAGAGGUGAAAUUCGUAGAUAUUCGCAAGAACACCAGUGGCGAAGGCGGCUCACUGGCCCGGUACUGACGCUGAGGUGCGAAAGCGUGGGGAGCAAACAGGG
rnacentral:rRNA from 1 species